rnacentral:lncRNA from 1 species
AUGGAGGAGCAGCUGCAGCAGAACAAUGUCAGUGAGGUGUGGAGGAGCCUGAAAACCAUCUCAGGCUUCAAAGCUCCACACCCACAGGCUGAGGGGGACCUGAGCUGGGUCAACGAGCUGAACUCACACUUUAAUAGGUUUGACCAAGCACCCACUCACACCUCCCAGCAGCUGCCUCCGAACCUCUUGUCACCUCAUACCACUGGAUUACCAGCCCCCACAGCCCUUCACACCUUUACACAAAGCCCUCUACCCUCAGCCCUGACGACUGGUGACUCAUCCCAACCACACCCCCUCACUUCACACCACACUGAGACACCCCCUCAAACCCUAUCCUUCUCCAGCACCCAGAUGAGAAGUGAGCUCAGGAAGAUCAAGGCCAGGAAAGCAGCUGGACCAGACGGCAUCAGCUCCAGACUCCUUAAGUCCUGUGCAGGCGAACUGUGUGGAGUUAUGGAGCAUGUCUUCAACCUGAGCCUCAAGCUGAGGGUGGUAGCACAGCUCUGGAAGACCUCCUGCGUGGUACCAGUGCCCAAGACACCGCACGCCAAAGACCCCAGCAGCUUCAGACCAGUGGCUCUGACAUCACACCUGAUGAAGACACUGGAGAGACUGGUCCUGGGUCACCUCCGCUCUGCGGUGGGAACCUACCUGGACCCGCUGCAGUUCGCCUACCGACACGGCAUAGGAGCAGACGACGCCGUCAUCUUCCUCCUACAUCGAGCCCUUUCCCACCUAGAGAAGCCCGGCAGCACUGUGAGGAUCAUGUUCUUUGACUUCUCCAGUGCCUUCAACACCAUCCAGCCGGUGCUUCUGAAACACAAACUGGGGGAGGCUGGUGUGGACCUUCAUCUGACGGAGUGGGGGGAGUGCAGUGUGGGGGCCCCACAGGGGACUGUACUGGCCCCCUUCCUUUUCACCCUCUACACGUCAGACUUCAGGCACAACACGGACAGCUGUGUUCUGCAGAAGUUCUCUGAUGACUCUGCGAUCGUCGGACUGAUCACAGAUGAUGACGAUGCAGAGUACAGAGCACUCACUCAGAACUUUGUGGACUGGUGCCAGCGGAACCACCUCCUGAUCAAUGCAGGGAAAACGAAGGAGAUGGUGGUGGAUUUCCGCAGACGGCAGCCUGCUGUCAUUCCACCGAUGCACAUCCAGAGAAGGGACAUUGAGAGAGUGGACUCUUACAAGUACCUGGGAGUGCAUCUGAACAAUAAACUGGACUGGACUCAUAACACGGAUGCACUGUACAGGAAGGGUCAGAGCAGACUCUACCUGCUGAGGAGUCUUUUGGAGUGA